rnacentral:rRNA from 1 species
CUACGACGGGUACGGGUUGUGAGAGCAAGAGCCCGGAGAUGGAUUCUGAGACACGAAUCCAGGCCCUACGGGGUGCAGCAGGCGCGAAAACUUUACAAUGCUGGCAACAGCGAUAAGGGAACCUCGAGUGCCAGGUUACAAAUCUGGCUGUCGAGAUGCCUAAAAAGCAUUUCAUAGCAAGGGCCGGGCAAGACCGGUGCCAGCCGCCGCGGUAACACCGGCGGCUCGAGUGGUAACCGUUAUUAUUGGGUCUAAAGGGUCUGUAGCCGGCCGGAUAAGUCUCUUGAGAAAUCUGGCAGCUUAACUGUCAGGCUUUCAGGAGAUACUGUCUGGCUCGAGGCCGGGAGAGGUGAGAGGUACUUCAGGGGUAGGGGUGAAAUCUUGUAAUCCUUGAAGGACCACCAGUGGCGAAAGCGUCUCACCAGAACGGACCUGACGGCAAGGGACGAAAGCUAGGGGCACGAACCGGAUUAGAUACCCGGGUAGUCCUAGCCGUAAACGAUACUCGCUAGGUGUCGGCCACGGUGCGACCGUUGUCGGUGCCGUAGGGAAGCCGUGAAGCGAG